AUUGAACGCUGGCGGCAUGCUUUACACAUGCCAGUCGAACGGCAGCGCGGGCUUCGGCCUGGCGGCGAGUGGCGAACGGGUGAGUAAUACAUCGGAACGUGCCCAGUCGUGGGGGAUAGCUCGGCGAAAGCCGGAUUAAUACCGCAUACGACCUGAGGGUGAAAGCGGGGGAUCUUCGGACCUCGCGCUAUUGGAGCGGCCGAUGGCAGAUUAGCUAGUUGGUGGGGUAAAGGCCUACCAAGGCGACGAUCUGUAGCUGGUCUGAGAGGACGACCAGCCACACUGGGACUGAGACACGGCCCAGACUCCUACGGGAGGCAGCAGUGGGGAAUUUUGGACAAUUGGCGAAAGCCUGAUCCAGCAAUGCCGCGUGUGUGAUGAAGGCCUUCGGGUUGUAAAGCACUUUUGGCGGGAACGAAAAGGACUGUGCCAAUACCACGGUUCGAUGACGGUACCCGCAGAAUAAGCACCGGCUAACUACGUG
rnacentral:rRNA from 1 species